CCUUGGGGCGCGCUUUCCGGCGGCGUGGGGCGCGGCGGCGUCCGACUGCGGGGUGACCGCGCCUCCCCAGGCCGGGGCCUCAGCAGCCGCCCCGGCCCCUGGAUUGCGCUGGCAGGACAGGUGCGUGGGAGAAGGCGGCCGAAAGCGCCCUCCCACUAAGGACACACGGGCGCAGGGGAGCCCCGGGAGAGCCCCAGAGAGGUCCCAGGAGGGACUCGGGAGAGCCCCAGGAAGCUCCCGGGAGAGCCCGAGGAAGGUCCCGGGAGAGCCCGAGGAAGACCCUGUCGGAGCCCGAGGAAGGUCCCGGGAGAGCCACCAGGAAGCGCCGGGGAGAGCCCCAGGAAGGCUGCAGAUCUGCCAUGCGCUACCGUCCACUCUCAAGAACAGCCCAUUCCCUCUCUUCAGCCAGAUGUUCAUGCAUCAGUCUCAGAUUACCCAACAGAGAUGGGAGAUUUGUGCUGGCCCUGCACAGGAUGCCUCGAAGGAAGCCCUGUGGCGAGAGAUGAACCUAGCUCAACUUCCAGUCUGCUGCUGGUGCCUGCCCCGGUGACCUCCAUGUUACAGGCAGGCUGGGAAAGGCAGACGACACUGUAAUGGCAAUGAUGCCCCCAAGCCAUCCGGUCUCCAGUGAAUCCUGGAAAUAAAUUGAACUGGCAGGAGAACAUCAGACCGAAGGAAGUGCUUGACAGGAGCAAUCGUGGGUAUAUCUAAGCUUCCUGAAAAUGUGCUAAACGUUGUCCAUUUGCUGGCCGUGGAGACCUUCCUGACUGCGUGCUCGGAGCCUCAGGUUCGUCUCGCCCUUUCUGGACACUCCUCAGUUGGAGGACAUGGGAGCUGCUUCCUGCAGGAGUUGACAAAGUGUCCAAGCGACACAGCUCAGAGACCAGGCGACAUGACUCAUGACUCCUGUGGCUCCAACUGCAUCUGAUGGGAGAUUGGAGAUCACAAAUCAGAAGGGGACUUAAGGGCUGUUGGCAACAGGAUGGGACUGUGGACAGCUCAUGUGCCUGCCUCUGUCAUGAUAGGCACCCAGAAAUAUUUCCUGGAUGGCCAGUGACCAAGUGGAGGAAGUCAUGUCUUCACACGCUUCCAGCACACACAUGUGAUGAAGCAGGAUCCAGGCCGUGGCAAGGCACCAGGAUAGGACAAGCAAGGAGGCGGCUCCUCUCUGCCCGGGGUCUGACCUGUGAGAGGAAAGCAGCCUGACGGCGCCCACUCUGGUGACCGCUGUGACGAGUGCUCUGCAGCCCGGAGGAACUCUGGGAGGUUUGAUGUGAAGAGGACAGCCAGGGAUGACCCUUCUGUGAGGUCUGAGGGAUGAACUGGAAGACACUUAUGAUUUUAAAUGAAAAACUUGCCUGAGAGGAGACACAGAAAAAAAUACGAAGAGCUAGGUUCUGAUGAGGAAAUUACUUCUGUGGACCCAGUGCUUUUGACUUCAUCUUCCUUCUGUUCCUGAACUUCAGAACAUGGAGAACAAUGACGAAAAGGGUGUCAAAGCACUCAGAAAAAUUAAGUGUCAAAUACGUGGAAAUAGUAAUAAAAAACCACUUUUCAUGUUA